rnacentral:rRNA from 1 species
AUGAACGCUGGCGGCGUGCUUAACACAUGCAAGUCGAACGGUGAAGGGGAGCUUGCUUCCUGGAUCAGUGGCGAACGGGUGAGUAACACGUGAGCAAUCUGCCCCUGACUCUGGGAUAAGCGCUGGAAACGGCGUCUAAUACUGGAUACGAGCUGCGAUCGCAUGGUCAGCAGUUGGAAAGAAUUUCGGUCAGGGAUGAGCUCGCGGCCUAUCAGCUUGUUGGUGAGGUAAUGGCUCACCAAGGCGUCGACGGGUAGCCGGCCUGAGAGGGUGACCGGCCACACUGGGACUGAGACACGGCCCAGACUCCUACGGGAGGCAGCAGUGGGGAAUAUUGCACAAUGGGCGCAAGCCUGAUGCAGCAACGCCGCGUGAGGGACGACGGCCUUCGGGUUGUAAACCUCUUUUAGCAGGAAAGAAGCGGAAGUGACGGUACCUGCAGAAAAAGCACCGGCUAACUACGU